CAAAGUGUGGGGAUUACAGGCGUGAGCCCCCACGCCUGGCCCUGGAAAUAACCUUCUUUUGACCAGAAGGCACUUGGUAAGAGGCUUCCUUGGUGAGUCCUGGCUUGGGGCUGCUUCUUCCUGCUGGUCUUGUGCCCUACUUGCUUGGAAGCCCCCCUCCCCGGCCUCUCCCUUCCUAGAACUCCGAGCCACAGACAAGUGCCCAGAACAUUACCCUGAGAUUUUCAAAGAAGACAGAGAAGAAUAGGAAAAUGAAAAAACGCAAAUGUAAGUCUGUGGGGAUGGAAUUAAUUAAAAGGAAAAAAUAAUACGAAGGCCAAGGAGGGGAGAGAGGGUGAGAAACAACAAAAACUCAUUUACAGCCAACAGAGAUCAUCUGAGGGAAAACAAAGAAUGGAACCCAAAUGAAAGAUUCCUGUGCAAGUCUAGGGAGAAGACUUGGGGAUGUGCAGGGAGAGAAAAGGACGCAGUGAUUAAUAAAACAGAGGGGAAAAUGAAAAUGCAACACAAAGCCCUCGGGUUCUACAUACAAGCCAAGGUACAUAUGCCAAUAAAAGCAGGGAAAUGGGGAACAAAGGAUGUCAUAGCAACCUCAAGGAGCCCUGUUGUGCUACCGACUGCAGAGCUCAUGGACAUCCAUCAGGAAGCCUCCAAUACCCAAACCAGAGACAGAGGAGCAAAAGGACCUCUCCUUGUGUGAUGCUGGCUAACAUCCCACUGGCCAAAACAGGUUACAUGUUAGGUGCAAAGGGGUAGUUGCCUAAUCCAUAUCCAUGUGGAUAGCUCUUUACUUAGGAAACCUUGAUGGCUUAUUUGGAUGACAAAGAUAUAAGAACUGGUACUGAAGCAGCCAUCUUGUGACCAUAAGGAAGAAGCCAAGAACAUCAGAACCAGUGGCCUAGCCAUUGCACAGUCAUCUAAACACACCUCUGGACUUGUUAUUAUGUAAAAAAAAAUAAACACCUGCUCUUGUUAUUUGCAAUUCAACAUAAUCGUAACUUACAUAAUAUUUAUCAAAUUGAUACAAAUAAGAAAUAAAUUACUUGGGAAUAAAAUUUCCAGUAGUUUGUCAAGCAUCUCCAAUCUUCUGAUUUCUUUAUUUCCCAUUGCAUUUUUCCCCAAUAAAUAUUCAUCUUCAAUACUCAAGAGUCUUCGUUAUGUCAGAGGGAAGUUGCUCUGAAGCUAAAAUCACAAUAGAAAAAUAUAUCCAGAGGUAUAGGCCUGUAUCCCCCAGCAGUUUCUUUCUUUGGUUAUGUCAUCUAUUGUCAGGGCAUAUCAACAAAACACAACGAAUGGUCGGAUGUGGCUGUCCUUGGUCAUGAUC
rnacentral:lncRNA from 1 species